ACCAAAAUCAUUUAACGACAAUAUUCAUCUCUUAAUUAUAGGGCUUAUUGGAUUUAAAGACGGGUCAUCAAAGAUUUCCUAAACUGAAGCAAAAUAUACUGAAUAUUCAAAUAUCUAUAUGUUACCAAAUUAUAAACAAAUAAGUUUGUCAAACAAUUUAAUAUUUUAUAUACGAAAUCAAUUAAAUCUUAAUCACAUAAAAUUUAG
rnacentral:sRNA from 1 species